rnacentral:rRNA from 1 species
GUGAACUCGAAGAGUAGGGCGGGACACGUGGUAUCCUGUCUGAAUAUGGGGGGACCAUCCUCCAAGGCUAAAUACUCCUGACUGACCGAUAGUGAACCAGUACCGUGAGGGAAAGGCGAAAAGAACCCCGGCGAGGGGAGUGAAAAAGAACCUGAAACCGUGUACGUACAAGCAGUGGGAGCACCUUCGGGUGUGACUGCGUACCUUUUGUAUAAUGGGUCAGCGACUUAUAUUCUGUAGCAAGGUUAACCGUAUAGGGGAGCCGCAGGGAAACCGAGUCUUAACUGGGCGUUAAGUUGCAGGGUAUAGACCCGAAACCCGGUGAUCUAGCCAUGGGCAGGUUGAAGGUUGGGUAACACUAACUGGAGGACCGAACCGACUAAUGUUGAAAAAUUAGCGGAUGACUUGUGGCUGGGGGUGAAAGGCCAAUCAAACCGGGAGAUAGCUGGUUCUCCCCGAAAGCUAUUUAGGUAGCGCCUCGUGAAUUCAUCUUCGGGGGUAGAGCACUGUUUCGGCUAGGGGGUCAUCCCGACUUACCAACCCGAUGCAAACUACGAAUACCGAAGAAUGUUAUCACGGGAGACACACGGCGGGUGCUAACGUCCGUCGUGAAGAGGGAAACAACCCAGACCGCCAGCUAAGGUCCCAAAGUCAUGGUUAAGUGGGAAACGAUGUGGGAAGGCACAGACAGCCAGGAUGUUGGCUUAGAAGCAGCCAUCAUUUAAAGAAAGCGUAAUAGCUCACUGGUCGAGUCGGCCUGCGCGGAAGAUGUAACGGGGCUAAACCAUGCACCGAAGCUGCGGCAGCGACACUAUGUGUUGUUGGGUAGGGGAGCGUUCUGUAAGCCUGCGAAGGUGACCUGUGAGGGUUGCUGGAGGUAUCAGAAGUGCGAAUGCUGACAUAAGUAACGAUAAAGCGGGUGAAAAGCCCGCUCGCCGGAAGACCAAGGGUUCCUGUCCAACGUUAAUCGGGGCAGGGUGAGUCGACCCCUAAGGCGAGGCCGAAAGGCGUAGUCGAUGGGAAACAGGUUAAUAUUCCUGUACUUGGUGUUACUGCGAAGGGGGGACGGAGAAGGCUAUGUUAGCCGGGCGACGGUUGUCCCGGUUUAAGCAUGUAGGCUGGUUAUCCAGGCAAAUCCGGAUAAUCAAGGCUGAGGUGUGAUGACGAGGCACUACGGUGCUGAAGUAACAAAUGCCCUGCUUCCAGGAAAAGCCUCUAAGCAUCAGGUAACAUCAAAUCGUACCCCAAACCGACACAGGUGGUCAGGUAGAGAAUACCAAGGCGCUUGAGAGAACUCGGGUGAAGGAACUAGGCAAAAUGGUGCCGUAACUUCGGGAGAAGGCACGCUGGUGUGUAGGUGAAGUCCCUGCGGAUGGAGCUGAGACCAGUCGAAGAUACCAGCUGGCUGCAACUGUUUAUUAAAAACACAGCACUGUGCAAACACGAAAGUGGACGUAUACGGUGUGACGCCUGCCCGGUGCCGGAAGGUUAAUUGAUGGGGUUAUCCGUAAGGAGAAGCUCUUGAUCGAAGCCCCGGUAAACGGCGGCCGUAACUAUAACGGUCCUAAGGUAGCGAAAUUCCUUGUCGGGUAAGUUCCGACCUGCACGAAUGGCGUAAUGAUGGCCAGGCUGUCUCCACCCGAGACUCAGUGAAAUUGAACUCGCUGUGAAGAUGCAGUGUACCCGCGGCAAGACGGAAAGACCCCGUGAACCUUUACUAUAGCUUGACACUGAACAUUGAGCCUUGAUGUGUAGGAUAGGUGGGAGGCUUUGAAGCGUGGACGCCAGUCUGCGUGGAGCCAACCUUGAAAUACCACCCUUUAAUGUUUGAUGUUCUAACGUUGGCCCCUUACCGGGGUUGCGGACAGUGUCUGGUGGGUAGUUUGACUGGGGCGGUCUCCUCCCAAAGCGUAACGGAGGAGCACGAAGGUUAGCUAAUCCUGGUCGGACAUCAGGAGGUUAGUGCAAUGGCAUAAGCUAGCUUGACUGCGAGCGUGACGGCGCGAGCAGGUGCGAAAGCAGGUCAUAGUGAUCCGGUGGUUCUGAAUGGAAGGGCCAUCGCUCAACGGAUAAAAGGUACUCCGGGGAUAACAGGCUGAUACCGCCCAAGAGUUCAUAUCGACGGCGGUGUUUGGCACCUCGAUGUCGGCUCAUCACAUCCUGGGGCUGAAGUAGGUCCCAAGGGUAUGGCUGUUCGCCAUUUAAAGUGGUACGCGAGCUGGGUUUAGAACGUCGUGAGACAGUUCGGUCCCUAUCUGCCGUGGGCGCUGGAGAAUUGAGGGGGGCUGCUCCUAGUACGAGAGGACCGGAGUGGACGCAUCACUGGUGUUCGGGUUGUCAUGCCAAUGGCACUGCCCGGUAGCUAAAUGCGGAAGAGAUAAGUGCUGAAAGCAUCUAAGCACGAAACUUGCCCCGAGAUGAGUUCUCCCUGAGACUUUAAGUCUCCUGAAGGAACGUUNNNNNNNNNNNNNNNNNNNNNNNNNNNNNNNNNNNNNNNNNNNNNNNNNNNNNNNNNNNNNNNNNNNNNNNNNNNNNNNNNNNNNNNNNNNNNNNAGAAUUUGCCUGGCGGCACUAGCGCGGUGGUCCCACCUGACCCCAUGCCGAACUCAGAAGUGAAACGCCGUAGCGCCGAUGGUAGUGUGGGGUCUCCCCAUGUGAGAGUAGGGAACUGCCAGGCAUCAAAUUGCAGUAAGCCGGGGUGACAACCGGUGGUAAUAAAGCGAAGAAAUUCGGUGG